rnacentral:rRNA from 1 species
AACGAACGCUGGCGGCAGGCCUAACACAUGCAAGUCGAACGCCGUAGCAAUACGGAGUGGCAGACGGGUGAGUAACGCGUGGGAACAUACCCCUCGGUUCGGAAUAACUCAGGGAAACUUGAGCUAAUACCGGAUACGUCCGAGGUUUUAAUCGACCUUGGAGAAAGAUUUAUCGCCGGAGGAUUGGCCCGCGUCUGAUUAGCUUGUUGGUGAGGUAAUGGCUCACCAAGGCGACGAUCAGUAGCUGGUCUGAGAGGAUGAUCAGCCACAUUGGGACUGAGACACGGCCCAAACUCCUACGGGAGGCAGCAGUGGGGAAUAUUGGACAAUGGGCGAAAGCCUGAUCCAGCCAUGCCGCGUGAGUGAUGAAGGCCUUAGGGUUGUAAAGCUCUUUACCCGGGAAGAUAAUGACGGUACCGGGAGAAUAA